rnacentral:lncRNA from 1 species
AGGGCAAACCCUUGCCCUAACAGGUGAAGGAAGUAAUCCAAUGGUGUCUGCCAGCAUCUGUGUCAGCACGACUGAACUACGUCACAAUAAUGGCUUCCCACCCGUGUCUCGGUCCCUGGGGGUUGGGCCCAGCCACCUCCUGCCUCUCUGAGAUGUGUCAGAGCAUAGAGGUCUACGCAGGGCUGAAGCUGGAACUGAGAUGCCUGUGGAAUAUAGGACUGUGGCCCUGUCAGGAGUCGGUGUCGUGUGUCAGUGCAAUCCACCCUCACUGGUACCGGGUUAAUCUCCCUGAAGCCUUACUGACAGAAACUUCAGUAGUUCCCAACCGCUCACAGGAUGAAGUUUAAAGUCCUAGCAAGCCAGUCCCUUGCACAGGGCCCCCAAAGACCUCUCCGAGCUUGGCUCUCAAUGCUCCCUCAUGAGACUCCUCCUCUCAAACGUUACUAGCACUUUCCUGUUUUUAUCUUGGCAUUUCUUUUCUUCCAUAAACACUGGCAAAUAAAAUCCAGCCACAUGAACAUAACCUAUUUGAACUGAAAGAGAACUCAGACAUCAGCGGGUAAGGUCCAGUCUCCUUCCUGCUUCUCAUUACUGAGAUGAGGAAAUGGAGGUCUGUAGAGAGGUGGUGAGUGAGCCAGCUCAAAUCCACUGUGUCCAUGCCACUCGGCCCUCAGGCACAGUCCAGAAGGGACUCGGUGGCGCCAUCACUUGGCCCUUAGCAGGAUUGCAGGUGAGGCGAACAGGGAGAAGGCAGCGACACCUCUACCACCGGCUCAGGACUCUCAGCGGGAGAGGCCGUAUUUUACAGGCCUCCCAGAGCUCAGGGUAGUUUUGGGAAACCCAGGAGGAAGGAGAACCAGGCUGCAACAAAACUUGGCUGAAAUGGAGAACUCCAUUUCACUAACUCAACAAUGUCCUUGAAUGUGCCUUCCUGCCCAUCUGUCCAAGAGGCUCUCACGCCACCUUCUUCACUUUUUGCACCAUUUAUUCCUGUCUGUAACUGUCUUGGUUAACUUGCCACUUGAUUGUCUUCCCCCUGGAUGUAAGCCCACCAGGGAGGGAGGGGCCUUGUCCUUUUGACUACUGCUAUAGCCCCAGCACCUAGCCAUUUAUUUAUUCUGCACCUGCUGAUGUCUUCAUGAACCUUUGCUGUUGUUAGGGGUGUGCAAACUACAGCAGAUGGCAUCCUUAGUUGCAUUAUGACAGACCCACCAGGGUGAAGACCCAUCUGAAUGAAUGAAAAUCCCAAGUUAUGGAGGAAUGCCAGUUUAUUACUUCCAAUGACUGUGACCUUAUUGCCUGGAACUUUCGUUCUACCUUAAUAAUUAGAUAUGAGACUACUUUGUUUUCAAGAACUCUAGUAUUAAAUAUUUGCACAUAUCCGUAGUCACAAACUGCUCAAUAUCCACCUAACACAUAAGGAAACUGUGUGGAGGGUGCCGUGUGGGACGCUGGGAGUGACAGGGCUGCAGGCAGCUCAGGGCAUGUGGCCCCCUCAGGGACGGAGGUUCAAUGGGGUCACGACCUGCAAUUUGCCUACAUAAAAUUUUUAUAUUCUAAAAUCAUUCUGGGCCAAAUGCAACAUGUUGUGGGCUGCUUUGGACCACACAAGCCACUAAUUUUUAAGAAAAC